CUGCAGCUUUCCAAAGGAACUGUGACGUGGGGAAUCCGUACAGGGAAUGCCGCCUACGAUACGAAACUCGCAGCUAGCUGUUUGUAUGUAUCCCAUCAUUACAAACAUCAGUUUGUCUACUGUGGUAUAAACUCUGCUCCACCUAAAAAUCAUUUCAGUGGUAUGCAUUCACUCGGAGUAUGUGGUGUAAUUGAAGAGUUAAUCCAUUUCAGCAUAUUGAUAAUAAAUGAGCUUCACUGUUAUUUUGCAUUUGCCUUACACCAUAUUCCAGAAAUAACUGGGAAUGCAACUCCAUGGACAUUAACAGUAUAUUGCCUGAGUUAGUAAACAAGAAGAUUGCAUCAGCAUUACUACUUGUCUGAUUAUUACAUUUAAUUUUCUAUCUGGAUGAUAAUAGGUGUAACAUUUACGAGGAUGUGAAACUUAUAUUUGUUUGUGCCUGGUUAAGAUUGCUGCACUUGUAGCUGUGGAUUUUGCAGUCAGGGUGGGUGGUGAAUGGCUAUGAUUAAAUAUCUGUCUUGGGUUUCUUGCUUGUAAAGGCAUUUGUGUGCUUUUUCUUCUGCAGUUAUGAUUACUUUCUGUGUACUUGUUUCUACUGUAUACUUCUGCUGCUUCCUGCAACUUCUGGGGUUUCGAUGUUUAGAUGAAUGUAUAAAAAUAGAAAGUUUACUCUCAUAUUUUUGUGGUGACUAUCAUGAUUUGCUUCAAUCAUUAUUGACUACACUUUGUGUAAUCUGCAACUAAUGAGGUAGAUCAAUCCAAAGGUGUGUGCUUGAACAUGUGUUAUUAUUGAAUGCUGUUGAUAAAAAUAAUCAGUGGUUAGUCUCUUAGUUUGUAGAUGUAUCACUUGUGUUGCUUUUGGUGUGUCUAAUUCUUUAGGUUUUCUUUUUGUCACGCCUUGCAUUGACCUUUUGACUGUCUGUCUGUCUCGCAAUAGGCAGUUAAUGCAUAUAGAGUAGUUUUGUUGAGCUGCCUGUGAUAAAUGGAGGGGAGCUCAUUAGUUCAAAUAGAAUUAGUUCAGUUUCCGCGAUCCAAAAUUAAUCAUUUGUAAUGCUGUGUAAUAACCAUGUAAAAAGCAGGCACUGUGAACUGUGUAAGAUUUUCUGAUUUUUUCCCCCAUAAACUGUUAUCCUUCUGAUAGUUGAUACAAGUAUUUUUAAAUGGCUUUUACUUUAAUUUGACAAAACGGUAAAAUUGAGUGUUUCCAAAUUGUUUGUUCAAAGGGGUUUUUUUAUACGUUGACUGGAAUGGCUAGGCAUUAACUCUGAUUGUGCAGAAAUUCCAUUCCAAAACACAUUUUAAUUGCAUCUAGAACUGGACAAAUGAUGUGUUGAGACCAGCAUGUCUCCUUCUGACAUACUGUUAUAAUCCUUUUGCA